AUGACUGUAGGUUAUAAAAUGAGGUGCAAAUGAUUGAAUCUGUGAAGUUUACAUCAAUCUUUUUUAAAAAUUUGGUUAUGUUAUGCUUUGGCACCUUAUAUGCUCGAUUAAAUGCCAAACGGCCCAAACCUGUUGUAUUGUCAAGAACUUUGCUGUGUUCGUGCAAUUGAUUUGGGUUUCUUGUGUCUCGUCUGUCUCUACCAUACACACAGUUUAAAAGUUUUGGAAUGUAAUGAUCUGCUGUGUUCGCCAUCUAUUACAGUUUCUUUUUAAAUGAUAUUAAUUACAUUAUCCUCAUGUCCAUAGCUAAUUUAAUGAAAGAAUUUAAUCUUAUGUUUCAACUGGUCCACAACAUACGAUGAUUUACUAACAACCAGUCAGCUUUUUCCACAACCAAUCACAUUACCUGAGAUGGUUGAUUUUUUAGUUGAUAUCUGGCAUGAAGAGGGGCUUUACGAUUAGAUCCGAAGAUUAUCUUCUUGGGGCGAUGAACUUUGGAAGUUACAUAUAGAUAGAAGAACCCAACUAGUCAAACAUGCCCCGGCAUCUCUGAAUCAUUUGGAAGCAAGUAGAGAGUUAUAUGAUCUCUCUAUGAUGGAAGAAUUUAAGCUAGAGAGCAUGGCCCAUCUCAGAUAUGGUGAACAAGCUCCUUCAAUUUAGGAAGUAUUUUAAUUCAUACAAACAAUGUUUUUGAUUCAUACAAACAAGCCCAUCUCUCUCUGAUGGCUUUUCUGUUAUAGAGGCUAUUAUUUGAAAAAACUCCAAUUUCAAGAUUGUUUUUACUUUUGAUGUAUUUGAGUGGAUUCCAGACAACCCAAUCUGCAUUACUGAAGUGCAUACAAAUUUCUUUGGUGUAUGAUAUCAGUCAGCUGAGAAUUGGAUCUGCUCAGAAUAUUGUGUCCCACCUGGAACCAGAAUCUCCAGUUAGUAAAAAAGCAUCAGAUCAGUCAUCAGAGCAACCACAACAACAGCCACAACAAGCAGAAAUGAAACUGAUCUCAAUGCCCCACCCUUUUUUAGAUAUUUGCACCCCUUCUUCUUCUUCUUCUUCUUUUGGUGGAGAUUUUGUCACAAAUCACGUGGAGAUCACCAUGGCAUUUCUCAUCUAUAUACUUCUUCUUCCUUCUUCCUUCUUCCUUCUUCUUCUUCUUCUUCUUCUUCUUCUCUCUUUUUAACUUUUGAAAUUGGGAUUUUGGGGGGUUCUUUUAUUUGGU